AUGAAUUCUCAGUGAGGAUGAGCAAAGCUGGAGGUUUCACCUUACACGUGGCAAUGAUUUUUUCCAAAAUUUGAAGAAUUAACCAUUUAUUUUUAAACUUUUUAUUGCCAGCUUUUUUUUCCCCCCUUGGAGAGAAAUUGAGAAGAAAAUGUAAAUUGGCCUGGUGGAGUUAAGAAAUUGUAACUGGAGAAGGAGUAUGUGGGUUAAUUUAUUCUGACUUCCUGCCCAGGCUCAGAAAGCCCUCUCACAGCAUCUCUGGCCAGUCAUUUGUCCUUUUCCUAGGGACAGGAGCUAAUGGUCACUAUUAGGUACAUCACUCAAAGCAGUGUUGUCUGACAUUUUCUUCCCUGUAACUUCUGCCCUAGUUAAGUAAUGACUAGCCAGAUUAUGAAGACAUUGGUCAUGAUACCCUAAGUCUUCUUAGCAUUAACUGAGUAUCUUUAGUUUUUUAUUUCGAAUAUUUGACACAUCUCAUUGUGUCUUAUAUUAUACCUUUGGAAGUGCCCCAUUUUGAUAAUGAUGCAUUCAGAAACCUGUGGUACUUGGGAUGGACAUAGUGUUCCAGCUCUCCAUCUAGUAUGUGAUGUCUUGUACACUUGCUUGACAGAUUACAGAUUCUGGAUCAGUCCAAGAAAAUAGGUAACAGGCUGAGCCAUCAGGUUAGUGAGUGGUAUAGCAUCAAGGGCUGGGAGGGGCUCCCUCAUUGGAACAUUGACAGAUCAAUUAUCUUGAACCAAUCUGCUUAUCUCUUUGGACUCAGUUUUCUUCUCUGCAAAAGGAAGGAAUGGACCAGUCUGAGCCCGUUCAUUUCUCAAGUGUUCAGUGCAUUCAAAAGGUUUUUGAAACCUCUAGUACAGGAUUUCAUUAGAAGGCAAUUAAUAUUUACAGAGCACCUGGUUUCACUCACAGGCUAACCCUAGACAGUGUUUUAGGUCUUCACUGGUUUCUUAGUUUUUGGUAUUUUUCCACAUUCAAAAAGAUGCUGUUUGGAGGGAAUGAAAACAAUAUC
rnacentral:lncRNA from 1 species